rnacentral:rRNA from 1 species
CCUACGGGUGGCAGCAGUGGGGGAUAUUGCACAAUGGGGGAAACCCUGAUGCAGCGACGCCGCGUGUGGGAAGACGGUCUUCUGGAUUGUAAACCACUGUCCCCAGGGACGAAAAUGACGGUACCUGGGGAGGAAGCUCCGGCUAACUACGUGCCAGCAGCCGCGGUAAUACGUAGGGAGCAAGCGUUGUCCGGAAUUACUGGGUGUAAAGGGAGCGUAGGCGGGGAUGCAAGUUGGGUGUCAAAACUACCGGCUCAACCGAUAGUCGCACUCAAAACUGCAACUCUUGAGUGAAGUAGAGGCAGGCGGAAUUCCUAGUGUAGCGGUGAAAUGCGUAGAUAUUAGGAGGAACACCAGUGGCGAAGGCGGCCUGCUGGGCUUUUACUGACGCUGAGGCUCGAAAGUGUGGGGAGCAAACAGGAGUAGAUACCCGGGUAGUC